rnacentral:rRNA from 1 species
AGUAGGGAUCUUCCGCAAUGGGCGAAAGCCUGACGGAGCAACGCCGCGUGAGUGAUGAAGGUCUUCGGAUCGUAAAACUCUGUUAUUAGGGAAGAACAAAUGUGUAAGUAACUAUGCACGUCUUGACGGUACCUAAUCAGAAAGCCACGGCUAACUACGUGCCAGCAGCCGCGGUAAUACGUAGGUGGCAAGCGUUAUCCGGAAUUAUUGGGCGUAAAGCGCGCGUAGGCGGUUUUUUAAGUCUGAUGUGAAAGCCCACGGCUCAACCGUGGAGGGUCAUUGGAAACUGGAAAACUUGAGUGCAGAAGAGGAAAGUGGAAUUCCAUGUGUAGCGGUGAAAUGCGCAGAGAUAUGGAGGAACACCAGUGGCGAAGGCGACUUUCUGGUCUGUAACUGACGCUGAUGUGCGAAAGCGUGGGGAUCAAACAGGAUUAGAUACCCUGGUAGUCCACGCCGUAAACGAUGAGUGCUAAGUGUUAGGGGGUUUCCGCCCCUUAGUGCUGCAGCUAACGCAUUAAGCACUCCGCCUGGGGAGUACGACCGCAAGGUUGAAACUCAAAGGAAUUGACGGGCCC